rnacentral:rRNA from 1 species
AAAUUGAAGAGUUUGAUCAUGGCUCAGAUUGAACGCUGGCGGCAGGCCUAACACAUGCAAGUCGAACGGUAACAGGAAGCAGCUUGCUGCUUCGCUGACGAGUGGCGGACGGGUGAGUAAUGUCUGGGAAACUGCCUGAUGGAGGGGGAUAACUACUGGAAACGGUAGCUAAUACCGCAUAAUGUCGCAAGACCAAAGAGGGGGACCUUCGGGCCUCUUGCCAUCGGAUGUGCCCAGAUGGGAUUAGCUUGUUGGUGGGGUAACGGCUCACCAAGGCGACGAUCCCUAGCUGGUCUGAGAGGAUGACCAGCCACACUGGAACUGAGACACGGUCCAGACUCCUACGGGAGGCAGCAGUGGGGAAUAUUGCACAAUGGGCGCAAGCCUGAUGCAGCCAUGCCGCGUGUAUGAAGAAGGCCUUCGGGUUGUAAAGUACUUUCAGCGGGGAGGAAGGGAGUAAAGUUAAUACCUUUG